UAGAGAUUAGUUUAAUUAUAGAAUACCUGACUGUUAAUUAGGUGGUCCUUUCUCUAG
rnacentral:tRNA from 1 species